rnacentral:lncRNA from 1 species
ACUAAAGAGAGGAUUAACCAAAAUGUUUUGGGAAUGGAUUUUCUAGGCUUGUCUAGCAAAGAUUCAUUGGUAGUAGCCAUACUGAUAGGGUGCUUAUUACUCACUAUGAUCUUUGUUUGCUUCAGAAUCCUUAUAUAGACCAAAAAAUCCAUUUGAUACGCAAAAUAUAGGUAUCGAACAUAACACAAGACAUCACAAGACAAAGUUUAUGGUAUUGAACAAAUUUUGUUUUGUACAUUAUUUGGUGG